rnacentral:lncRNA from 1 species
CCACCCCCACCCUGCCACAGCUUCGGGACGACUGGAUCGCCGCGCCUGGGCCGGAGCGAGCCAUCUGCGGGCACUAUGCAAAGCGGGAGACGGCGCGAGCGGCGCCCGGCUCACACUAGCUCUUCCAGGACGCAGGACAGAAGAGCUCCUUGGCACUGGAUGCCUCCGGGUCUGGUUGAGAGAGGAAUGGUUAGGAGACUGUUCUGAGGAUACGCAGACAUCAUCCAAAGCUUCCUACAUUCAGAUGAGGACAGAGGUUGGGCCAGAGCUUUGUAAGCUUGUUACCUAAGGAUGGUUCUGACCAUGUAAGCAGAUCACAGAAGCUGGAGGCAAAGGAUGCCAAGAUGGGAAAGCCACAUAAUGGAAGGAUCCUGGAUUUCAGAGCUGUCACUUGGAGGAGGGGCACCCAGUGAAGGUGUCUUAUCUAACCCACACCAUAUCUUCAUAGAGUGGCCAUAUGGAUUUGAUCCCUAUCCUUCAGAGGUGCUCAGCCUAAGGGAACACGGAUAGUAGAUUAAGCACUGACCAGAGCCAGCCUUGACAAUGUGCUGAUGGCAACCUAGAACAUAAGCAGAGGAGUAUACAGGACA